rnacentral:rRNA from 1 species
UACGUAGGGUGCAAGCGUUAAUCGGAAUUACUGGGCGUAAAGCGUGCGCAGGCGGUUAUGUAAGACAGGUGUGAAAUCCCCGGGCUUAACCUGGGAACUGCAUUUGUGACUGCAUAGCUAGAGUACGGUAGGAGGGGGAUGGAAUUCCGCGUGUAGCAGUGAAAUGCGUAGAUAUGCGGAGGAACACCGAUGGCGAAGGCAAUCCCCUGGACCUGUACUGACGCUCAUGCACGAAAGCGUGGGGAGCAAACGAGG